rnacentral:lncRNA from 1 species
AGGUUUGGAGGUAUUCUUCUCGAGUAGAAUCACUCACAUUUCUUCAAUUUCUAGUAGUUAGGUGCCUAUUUAUUUAUUUAUUUAUUUAUUUAUUUAUUUUAUUAUAUUGUCUAAAUUGCUUCUCCCUCUUUUUCUGUAUUGGAUUUGGGAAAUGUGCGCAUGCAGACGUGCUGAGGAAAAUUGUGGUGUCCGGGAACAAGGCAAUGGCGGUCACUAUCUUCCUGAGCAGUCGAUAUGAAACGAUGUGAUCAUGUGAUUUGAAACUAUGCACUUUCGGGAUAUGAUGGAAUCCGCUGAGGUUCAUGUCGAAAUGGACUAACCUCAAUAGGCAACUGAUCACAUUUCAGCAAUCCAGAGAAUGAUGUCGUAUAUGAUAUGUCAAAGCAUCGGAUUGCUGACCUGGAGGCAUUCACUCUUGGUAGCUUCACUAAAAGGAAUCCUGUAAAAUUCGACAGGUUCCACUUUGUACGGGACAACACCAUCAACCCUUUCCGCUAAAACUUUCUCAAGCGUUGCAGGUUACGAACUGGCUCUGUGACAGUCCAUUCUACAGUGGCACCAAUUGAACAUGUCCACCCGUAAGAACCUCAUGGGGAGUUCCUUAGAACAGAUUUCCAACAAAUGAAUAAGGCCAUUAAGAUAAUGUUAGUCAUGGAUAUUCAGACGCCAGAUUGCUCAACAUCGUCUCACCUCUCAAAGCAAAAGUCGC